rnacentral:rRNA from 1 species
UACGUAGGGGGCAAGCGAUACUCGGAAUCACUGGGCGUAAAGCGCAGGUAGGCGGUUUGGAAAGUCUCUUGUGAAAGCUCCCGGCUUAACUGGGAGAGGUCAAGGGAAACUACUAGGCUAGAGUGCGGUAGAGGUAGCUGGAAUUCCCGGUGUAGCGGUGAAAUGCGUAGAUAUCGGGAGGAAUACCUAUGGCGAAAGCAGGCUACUGGACCGUCACUGACUCUGAUAUGCGAAAGCUAGGGGAGCAAACAGG